UACGGAGGGUGCAAGCGUUAAUCGGAAUUACUGGGCGUAAAGGGCGCGUAGGUGGUUAUUUAAGUUGGGUGUGAAAUUCCUGGGCUUAACCUGGGGUGGUCACCCAAAACUGGGUACCUAGAGUGCGAGAGAGGGUAGUGGAAUUUCAGGUGUAGCGGUGAAAUGCGUAGAUAUCUGAAGGAACACCAGUGGCGAAGGCGACUACCUGGCUCGCAACUGACACUGAGGCGCGAAAGCGUGGGGAGCAAACAGG
rnacentral:rRNA from 1 species